GAUGAACGCUGGCGGCGUGCCUAAUACAUGCAAGUCGAGCGAACAGAUGAGGAGCUUGCUCCUUUGACGUUAGCGGCGGACGGGUGAGUUACACGUGGAUAACCUACCUAUAAGACUGGGAUAACUUCGGGAAACCGGAGCUAAUACCGGAUAACAUAUUGAACCGCAUGGUUCAAUAGUGAAAGGCGGCUUUGCUGUCACUUAUAGAUGGAUCCGCGCCGUAUUAGCUAGUUGGUAAGGUAACGGCUUACCAAGGCAACGAUACGUAGCCGACCUGAGAGGGUGAUCGGCCACACUGGAACUGAGACACGGUCCAGACUCCUACGGGAGGCAGCAGUAGGGAAUCUUCCGCAAUGGGCGAAAGCCUGACGGAGCAACGCCGCGUGAGUGAUGAAGGUCUUCGGAUCGUAAAACUCUGUUAUCAGGGAAGAACAAAUGUGUAAGUAACUGUGCACAUCUUGACGGUACCUGAUCAGAAAGCCACGGCUAACUACGUG
rnacentral:rRNA from 1 species